AUAAAUCAAAGUCAAUGGUCAUUUACAAGACCAACUUUUAAACUUCUUUCAAAGAAAGAAGAGAGGACUAUGGCAACGCUAAUGUCACAGGAAGAGGCGGAGAGCUUCGCAGUGGAGUGGUGCGCAUCACUCAACUCGCGCAGCCUGGCCUCCAUCCUCGCGCACUACGAGCGAGGCGCCACUCUGGUGUCACCCCUGGUAUGUGAUCUCCUCGCGCGGAGCUCGGGAGCGCUCCAGGGCCUCGUGGAGCUCUCACAUUUCUUCCACAAGCUCAUGGUCCGCUUCCCAGAUCUCCACCUCCAGAUCCUCCACGUCUUUGGAGGCGUGUCCAGCUUAGUGGUCGUCUACCAGGGAGUUCCAGGAGUGUUUCUAGUUUCCGAGAUGCUGGAGAUCGAUCCAAAGUCACGUAAGAUCUCUAGAGCUGUGGUGCACUUGAAGAAAUCCUGCCACAACGCUGCUUGAGCCAAAAAAA
rnacentral:lncRNA from 1 species